rnacentral:lncRNA from 1 species
UCCUGAUUCAAGAAGCAAAUAGUGGAAUCGUUUGAUGGUUCCACUAAUUUCCUAGAUCAUCUUGAAGGCUUCAGGGGUGUCAUGAGGUUACAAGGGGCGUCUAAUGCCCUACUUUAUGUCGCCUUCCCAAUUAUCCUAAAAAAAUCUGCAAGAAUUUGAUUCUCUAGACUCUAGCCAAGAUUUAUUUCCUCCUUCAAAUGGUUGACAAAGCUGUUCAUCACUUAUUUGGGUAAUAACCA